rnacentral:rRNA from 1 species
CCUACGGGUGGCAGCAGUGGGGAAUAUUGCACAAUGGGCGCAAGCCUGAUGCAGCGACGCCGCGUGGGGGAUGACGGCCUUCGGGUUGUAAACUCCUUUCGUUAGGGACGAAGCCGCACCUUUUUUGGGUGUGGUGACGGUACCUUUGUUAAGAAGCACCGGCUAACUACGUGCCAGCAGCCGCGGUAAUACGUAGGGUGCGAGCGUUGUCCGGAAUUACUGGGCGUAAAGAGCUCGUAGGUGGUUUGUUGCUUCGUCUGUGAAAUUCCGGGGCUUAACUUCGGGGUGGCAGGCGAUACGG